GGUGUCACUAAGCAUAACCCUACGUAACUCAGGAGGGUGGAAGGCCACAAGAGUAUGGAGCCUUCCUGGUUUUAGGCCUCAGCAGACAAGAGUCCCUCCAUGUUUGAACUUUAAUCGACCUAAAAGGCCAGGUGUAACAGCCGUUAUCAGUUGCAACAGUUCUAACUGGUCUAAAGCAGAAAUAAUGAGGCCUGUGCACCUUUAGCAGAAGGACAAGAUAACUUGCAGAAGGAAAACUUACUAACGAGCUGCCGCGGCCAAGAUUACUUAAUGCACCUGCGCUUACGUAAUUGCUACAGGGGGAGGAAGGAGGAGGAGGGAGGGGAAACGGGGGAUUGCUAGUCAGUGAGAAAAGUUCUCAUGGAUAUAAAGGAACAGACUGCUUGUUUUAGGUGUGCUUGAUCUGAGUCAAUCUCCCUGCACCGCUUUGAGAUCUCAAAUAAACUUGGUUUGCUUCUCCACCCUGGUGUGUUUAUUGGCGCGGCACACCAGGCGACGGACCCCCCCGCUGUUGCUUGGCCUCAGGCAGUUAUCUGCCGGCAACAGUUCUUGGCGCCCAACGUGGGGCAUUGAGGCUAAAAUUAGCCUUGCCUGGAUCCCUUCUGGUGGUCGACGGAUUGCGGCGACGACCGACGCCCAGCGCGCACCGGUGACUUCACCGGGGGCCUCGGCGGAGACGCAGUUCAACUGACCUCAGAGGGCACAACGGUGCAACGCGCUCGAGUAGUGGAGAAGCAGUUGAGGGCGACGGUGAGGAACCGGUCCCUUGGAUAAGCUUAACUGUCCAGUAAGAUCCAACAGUGUGCCUUUGUGACCCCGGAGCCGGUGUGGCUUGGUGACACUGAAGAAGCCGCAGGCAGCUGACCUGGACUGGAAUCUCUGAAAGAGAUGCUGCAGAAGAUUCCAGGGUGCAAGAGAACAGCCCUCCAAAGAGCAGAAGCAUGUUAGAAAUUCUGGACAAGCUGUAUACAGGAUAAUCUCCAGUCCACCUCUCCCCCCUUCUCUGAACAUUAUACACAGAAGUGGCCAGUCUGGACGUACGUGUGUGGAUAAUCAGAGAAAACUGAUGCCAGCUGAACAGCAUUCAACGUACCAUGCAUUUACUGGCACAAUAGGAAUCAUGUUUUGUGUUCUAUGUUCUGUCCUGUGGUGUUUGUCUUGUGGCCGGAAUUUUUGUGUUUAAUAUUUUUAUAAAAUAGUCUAGUUUAAAAUCAAACAAAAAGAUUAAAUUAAAAUGCAGAUAUUUGUUUUGUUCAACUUGGAAUACAAAGUGUUUGGAUAAAUCAGGAGAAUGUAAUAUACUAAAGUCUAAUGCAUUUCCUUAAGUAAAGAAAAGAAAUUUCAUUGGCCAAACUGUUAAUUGCAAAAAUUGUUGUUAAAAUUUGCAUCCCAACAGUCUUUGAAAGCAAAGACAUGAAAAGUUAACCCACUCCCCAUAUUGUACAUGGGAUCUUUUUGGCUACCUCAGAUUUCUAGCCAGAGGGCUGGGGAUGGUGAAAGGCUAUUGGACUAGAGGUUGUAUUGAGUGAACUCCUCAAAGUGGGUGUGCUUGUCCUGGCUUGUUGCUCCAAAGCUCUGUAAUAAGGUUAUUUUAGCAAAAGGGUGUGUGUGGCAUAUAUUAAAUAAUAAGACUAAUGUACUGUAUAAUGACAAUGUUUAUGUCUUCAUUGUUGGGAAGAAGGUGUAUAAGUAAAAAGUGGAAGUUUCCUUUGCAGGUUAAAAGAAGCCAAGAAGGGAAGAAGGACAAAGAACAGAAUGAAUUAACUGAAAAAAAAUAAAAUAAAAUAGCAAGCUCAGGCUAUAGAUAAGAUACUGACUCCAUUCAAGAACACUGCUCACAGUUAAGACUUGGCUAACAACCAGGAAAAGGAGGGCUUGAAUUUGCCCAAACAGCUAUGAGAUUUGCAAAACAUUGCCAGGCACUAAUGAAAUGUGUUAAGUUUCUUU